CCAAUAGCGUAUAUUAAAGUUGUUGCAGUUAAAAAGCUCGUAGUUGAAUUUCGGGAUUAAUAUGCUGGUCGUGCCAUUGGUACGUACUAGUAUUAUUGAUUUCUCCCUCCUGAUGAAUCAUGAUGUCAUUAAUUUGAUGUCAUGGGGAAUCAGGACUGUUACUUUGAAAAAAUUAGAGUGUUUAAAUCAGGCUCGCGCUUGAAUACAUUAGCAUGGAAUAAUGAAAUAGGACGUUUGAUUCUAUUUUGUUGGUUUCUAGGAUUGACGUAAUGAUUAAUAG
rnacentral:rRNA from 1 species